ACUGCAGCAUCUCCUGACAGACAAGAACAGUGGCAUCUUAUCCCCCUGUGCAUUCGGCGCCCCCACAUACACACACGCAUACACAUGCGCACCCAUCCUCAGUCAGGCACAUACCCCACAUCCGCAGUACAUCCCCCUUUUUUUCCCGCCCCUCCCCCCCGGUUCGUCUCUGAGCCGCUGUCUCAAUCUCGCCUGCAUCAGGCGGCUCGGAAAGUUAUAAAUUAAACAUAAAUGCAAAUACGCCGCAACAUUGUUCUUCCCUCCAGUUCAAACAGAGCCGAGCUUUUGGGGAUUAAGUCAAGGACACUGAAGUUUAUUGAUGAGUGGCGUGGAAAUGAGAGUCACUGGGUCACUGAGUCGCACCCAGGGAAGCACGUUCAUUUGUCUGGGGCGCCGUGAUGAGAGCGUUCAAGACCCAAGCUGAAACGUCCCCAUUAGAGCAAAGCCCUGAUUUGAGGAAAUCAAAGGAUCGGCGUUCUCCCGUGCCUUUGGGGCAAGUCAGCUGGCCGACAGCGGACAGAGAUCCGGUCGGCCGCGCCGGCUUGGAUUGCAGCCGGUGUUGUUGUAUUUAUGCUCGUCCACCAGAUUCGUCUGCAGAGGAAGUAUCUGUUGACUGUUAUUUCUGUUUUGUUUUUUUUCCCUUCCAAUGUCUCACAUUCUCUGCAUCUGAAUGUCGCGCAUUUUCGUCGCUCGCCAACUGUGCCAUUCUUCCCGGGGCAGCUCAAGGCGAGGCAUGUGCAUGUGAAUUAUGUUUGAAAUAAAUAUCGGAUUUAUCACUAUA